rnacentral:lncRNA from 1 species
CUUGUAAACUUUGUCAGACGACUUGAUUUUCUUUACAGUAAUAACACUAACAAGGAUGCAAUACUAGCUGCAGAUCGUCUGUGCAUCAGUCAAUAAAUCGUAUUUUCAUACCUUUGUCUUCCCAAGUAACAAUAUCUUAGUUAAAUCAUGAUAUAUUAAGUCAAGAAAUGUGGUUUAAUUGCCAACAAAUUCUAAAUAAUGUGUAUUUAGCAAAUAUGGUCUUCACGAAUAAGCAAAACAUAUACCG